CUCGUGUCGUGAGAUGUUGGGUUAAGUCCCGCAACCGAGCGCAACCCUUGUCAUUAGUUGCUACAUUCAGUUGGGGCACUCUAAUGAGACUGCCGGUGACAAGCCGGAGGAAGGUGGGGAUGACAUCAAGUCCUCAUGGCCCUUAUAGUGGGGCUACACACGUCAUACAAUGGCUGGUACAAAGGGUUGCCAACCCGCGAGGGGGAGCCAAUCCCAUAAAGCCAGUCGUAGUCCGGAUCGUAGUCUGCAACUCGACUACGUGAAGUCGGAAUCGCUAGUAAUCGUGGAUCAGAAUGUCACGGUGAAUACGUUCCCGGGUCUU
rnacentral:rRNA from 1 species